CAAAGUGGCCAUGAGUUAGACUUUCCCCCACCCAUUUGGGGAGGACGCAAAGAAUAAAUUAUCAGCAACAGCUGAUUCUGUGUGUGGCCGUUCGAUGAAGCCCUGGAAAAUGUAAGCGACCAAGACUAUAAAUAAGUAAGUCAUACUUGAACCACAGUUAUAAUAACUUGAACGUGAUCACCUAAACAAGAAAUGCCUAUUAUAAAUUAUUUUUUAUUGAUGGGCCGCGCGGAACUGAGGCAAAUUAAAAUGAAAAUUGAAGAGCUUCAGAUUGAACUGCAGGCUGAAAAGGAUCCAACUCGUAUACAAGUAAUUAAGCAGAAAAUCGAGCAAUGGAAGAAAGAGGAGGUGGUAAAACAACGGGAAUUGGAGGAUAUUGUGGAGACUAAAAUACAAUUUGAUCAAGCUUCAGUAUGUUUAAAUAUAAUAGAUAAUUUGUUAUAAAGAACGUGUACUUUGAGCAAUGGACAGAAGCACUUGUAAAAUUUUACUGCAGUACCAUCAAAAAUGUAUUUAAUAACAUUGUUGCUCAAUAAAAUGUAAAGAUUUGUAAUGAUUAAAAUAAAAUUAUUUUAUUAACCUGCAAAUGAAAACUUGGUUUGGGCGGUGUUUGAAAUAUUGGUAUUUAAUUACAAGUGGCAAGGGAGUAGAAUUGGGAAAGGACUGGGGAUUCACCGAACAAAGGCUUAUAAAAAAUCUAGCUAAUUAUUCACCAUUUAAAAAUUAGCAAUUGUUUAGCAAAUAAUGAAAUAUUUAUUUAGUAAUAAACUGAUACUGAUUCCCCAACAUAAGCCAGUGCGCAGAGUGGCCAGGUUAUAAAAAAAAAUAAUGAAGUAGUCUCGUUAGUUUAUUUAUGUCCCGAAGCAUAAAAAAAAAAUCAGUUGCUCGGCGCCAACAGAAGUCCAUUUCACGGUGACAAGAUACAUUUUUGGUCAGCUUUUUAUAUUACCAAAGCUCUAACUCGAACCACAGUUAUAAAAACUUGAACGUGAUCACAUACAUACAAGAGAAAUGGAUUUAUUUUCUUCAAAUUAUAUAUCGACCUCCUUCGUGGAGCAAAGGCAAAAUCUAAUAAAAAUUGAAUUAGAUUUUUUCGUAGAAUGCAUACAUACAUAUUGAGCGGAAAAUCGCGAAAUUGGAGGAAAUGAACGAGAAAUUACGAAGGGAAAUAAAGAAAUAUUCGAGAAUGGAAACUGAAAUCAUAAUAAAUAAUAUGACACAUAACACUUUGAGAUGAUAACUGGACAGAAGUACUUGCCCAUUUUUACUGCAGUACCAUCAAAAAUGUAUUUAAUAACUUUGUAAUUCAACAAAUGUAAAGAUUUGUAAUGACAUAAAAAAGUUAUUUUAUUAACCUGUAAA